rnacentral:rRNA from 1 species
UGAAUACGAGACGCUACGGCGUCGAAGCAGUCUAUGUCAUACUUCCAAGAAAAGCUCGCUAUGUCAUAAACCAAGAAUGCCUGUACCAUAACCGACACAGGUGGGUAGGUAGAGUAUACUAAGGGGCGCGAGAUAACUCUCUCUAAGGAACUCGGCAAAAUGACUCCGUAACUUCGGGAGAAGGAGUGCCUUAUUUCUAAGGUUGCAAUAACAAGAUCCAAGCAACUGUUUAUCAAAAACACAGGUCUCCGCUAAGUCGUAAGACGAUGUAUGGGGGCUGACGCCUGCCCAGUGCCAGAAGGUUAAAGAAGUUGGUUAGCAUUCGCGAAGCUGAUAACUGAAGCCCUGGUGAACGGCGGCCGUAACUAUAACGGUCCUAAGGUAGCGAAAUUCCUUGUCGGGUAAGUUCCGACCCGCACGAAAGGCGUAAUGAUUUGGAUACUGUCUCGGAGAGGGACUCGGUGAAAUAGACUUGUCUGUGAAGAUGCGGACUACCUGCACCUGGACAAAAGACCCUAUGAAGCUUUACUGUAACUUGACAUUGAAAUUGGACUUUAUUUGCGCAGUAUAGGUGGGAGGCGUUGAGCAGAUUCUUGCGGGAAUCUGGGAGCCAUCAGUGAGAUACCACUCUUGUAAUGUUAGAUUUCUAACUUUGGAUCCUGAUCGGGUCAAUGAACAGUGUCAGGCGGGCAGUUUGACUGGGGCGGUCGCCUCCCAAACGGUAACGGAGGCGUACAAAGGUUUCCUCUGAACGGGUAGAAAUCGUAUCUAGAGUGUAAAGGCAUAAGGAAGCUUGACUGUGAGACCUACAAGUCGAGCAGGGACGAAAGUCGGUCUUAGUGAUCUGACGGUGCUGAGUGGAAAGGCCGUCACCCAACGGAUAAAAGUUACUCUAAGGAUAACAGGCUGAUCUCCCCCAAGAGUUCACAUCGACGGGGAGGUUUGGCACCUCGAUGUCGGCUCAUCGCAUCCUGGGGCGGUAGUACGUCCCAAGGGUUGGGCUGUUCGCCCAUGAAAGCGGUACGCGAGCUGGGUUCAGAACGUCGUGAGACAGUUCGGUCCAUAUCCGGUGUAGGCGUUAGAAUAUUGAGAGGAGCCUUCUUUAGUACGAGAGGACCGAGAAGGACAUACCUCUGGUGUACCAGUUAUCGUGCCAACGGUAAACGCUGGGUAGCUAUGUAUGGAGAGGAUAACCGCUGAAAGCAUCUAAGUGGGAAGCCCACCUCAAGAUAAGUAUUCUCAU